UGCCAGACUCCUACGGGAGGCAGCAGUGGGGAAUAUUGCACAAUGGGGGAAACCCUGAUGCAGCGACGCCGCGUGAGUGAAGAAGUAUUUCGGUAUGUAAAGCUCUAUCAGCAGGGAAGAAAAUGGCGGUACCUGACUAAGAAGCCCCGGCUAACUACGUGCCAGCAGCCGCGGUAAUACGUAGGGGGCAAGCGUUAUCCGGAUUUACUGGGUGUAAAGGGUGCGCAGGCGGUCCUGCAAGUCUGGAGUGAAACGCAUGAGCUCAACUCAUGCAUGGCUUUGGAAACUGGAGGACUGGAGAGCAGGAGAGGGCGGUGGAACUCCAUGUGUAGCGGUAAAAUGCGUAGAUAUAUGGAAGAACACCAGUGGCGAAGGCGGCCGCCUGGCCUGUUGCUGACGCUGAGGCACGAAAGCGUGGGGAGCAAACAGGAUUAGAUACCCGAGUA
rnacentral:rRNA from 1 species